UACACUCCUACGGGAGGCAGCAGUGGGGAAUAUUGGACAAUGGGCGCAAGCCUGAUCCAGCCAUGCCGCGUGAGUGAUGAAGGCCCUAGGGUUGUAAAGCUCUUUUGUGCGGGAAGAUAAUGACGGUACCGCAAGAAUAAGCCCCGGCUAACUUCGUGCCAGCAGCCGCGGUAAUACGAAGGGGGCUAGCGUUGCUCGGAAUCACUGGGCGUAAAGGGUGCGUAGGCGGGUCUUUAAGUCAGGGGUGAAAUCCUGGAGCUCAACUCCAGAACUGCCUUUGAUACUGAAGAGCUUGAGUUCGGGAGAGGUGAGUGGAACUGCGAGUGUAGAGGUGAAAUUCGUAGAUAUUCGCAAGAACACCAGUGGCGAAGGCGGCUCACUGGCCCGAUACUGACGCUGAGGCACGAAAGCGUGGGGAGCAAACAGGAUUAGAUACCCGGGUAGUCCCAUGA
rnacentral:rRNA from 1 species